AGAGUUUGAUCAUGGCUCAGGAUGAACGCUAGCUACAGGCUUAACACAUGCAAGUCGAGGGGCAGCAUGAUCGAAGCUUGCUUUGAUUGAUGGCGACCGGCGCACGGGUGAGUAACGCGUAUCCAACCUUCCCUAUAGUAGAGAAUAGCCCGGUGAAAAUCGGAUUAAUGCUCUAUGUUAUUCAAUGCGGACAUCUAAGUUGAAUCAAAGGUUUACCGCUAUAGGAUGGGGAUGCGUCUGAUUAGGUUGUUGGCGGGGUAACGGCCCACCAAGCCGACGAUCAGUAGGGGUUCUGAGAGGAAGGUCCCCCACAUUGGAACUGAGACACGGUCCAAACUCCUACGGGAGGCAGCAGUGAGGAAUAUUGGUCAAUGGACGGAAGUCUGAACCAGCCAAGUAGCCGUGCAGGAUGACGGCCCUAUGGGUUGUAAACUGCUUUUAUACAGGGAUAAAGUCGGGAACGUGUUCCCGUUUGUAGGUACUGUAUGAAUAAGGACCGGCUAAUUCCGUGCCAGCAGCUGC
rnacentral:rRNA from 1 species